GGAAAUGUGCCCGAAAGUAAAGGAUCUCCUUGAUAGGGAGAACAAUAGGGGUUCAAACCCCCUCACUUCCU
rnacentral:tRNA from 1 species